rnacentral:rRNA from 1 species
CCUACGGGGGGCUGCAGUGGGGAAUAUUGCACAAUGGGCGCAAGCCUGAUGCAGCGACGCCGCGUGAGGGAUGGAGGCCUUCGGGUUGUAAACCUCUUUUGUUUGGGAGCAAGCCUUCGGGUGAGUGUACCUUUCGAAUAAGCGCCGGCUAACUACGUGCCAGCAGCCGCGGUAAUACGUAGGGCGCAAGCGUUAUCCGGAUUUAUUGGGCGUAAAGGGCUCGUAGGCGGCUCGUCGCGUCCGGUGUGAAAGUCCAUCGCUUAACGGUGGAUCUGCGCCGGGUACGGGCGGGCUGGAGUGCGGUAGGGGAGACUGGAAUUCCCGGUGUAACGGUGGAAUGUGUAGAUAUCGGGAAGAACACCGAUGGCGAAGGCAGGUCUCUGGGCCGUCACUGACGCUGAGGAGCGAAAGCGUGGGGAGCGAA